CAGUCGCCACGGUAAUACAGAGGGUGCGAGCGUUAAUCGGAUUUACUGGGCGUAAAGCGUGCGUAGGCGGCUUCUUAAGUCGGAUGUGAAAUCCCUGAGCUUAACUUAGGAAUUGCAUUCGAUACUGGGAAGCUAGAGUAUGGGAGAGGAUGGUAGAAUUCCAGGUGUAGCGGUGAAAUGCGUAGAGAUCUGGAGGAAUACCGAUGGCGAAGGCAGCCAUCUGGCCUAAUACUGACGCUGAGGUACGAAAGCAUGGGGAGCAAACAGGAUUAGAUACCCCGGUAGUCCCUGUCUUUUAUAC
rnacentral:rRNA from 1 species